UACGUAGGGGGCAAGCGUUGUCCGGAAUCAUUGGGCGUAAAGAGCGUGUAGGCGGCCAGAUAAGUCCGCUGUGAAAAUCUCGAGGCUCAACUUCGAGCUGUCGGUGGAAACUGUCUGGCUAGAGUCCGGAAGAGGAGAAUGGAAUUCCUGGUGUAGCGGUGAAAUGCGCAGAUAUCAGGAAGAACACCCGUGGCGAAGGCGGUUUCUCUGGACGGUACUGACGCUGAGACGCGAAAGCGUGGAGCGAACAGG
rnacentral:rRNA from 1 species